rnacentral:misc_RNA from 1 species
AAUUAAUCCAAAAAGUGGACCAUCCGUAAUAAUAACAUCUGUAGACCUUGAAUUAUUUCUUGUAGCAGCUGCUGCACUUGACCCAUCAUCCAUGCAUUUAGAAGCUAAGGUUCUGCACCAGAGUGGAUCGAUGUUGGUGUGAUCACCAUAUCAACACGACCUCACAUCACUGCAGGCGGCCUGGCGUUGUUUGCGACCACAUUGGCAGUGCCGUCAAGAUAUCGCCACCUCUCUACUGCACUAACGGAUCAAAUAUUCGAAAACUCAAAUUUUCAAAUCUUAUCCGGCUUAAUCUUGGUAGAAUUCGAGUCAUUGGGAGUACUUCUUUGAAUUUGUAAGUGGAAAUGGGCCACCGUGGAUGCAAGAGAGAUCAACGUGUGUGAUCGAUGAUAAUUAAGGCAGAAUUGAUGUGGUGUCUUCUGUUCAAGUAUGUCUACUGCACACGAGUCUUGGACUUUGGUUACUGCAAUACAAGGCUUAUUUUGUUUUCCACCAUAUGUAUUUCCCAGUCUAUUAAUUAGGCCUGCAUCUUUGAUCCAUUCAAGGACUUUCCUUUCCUUCCUAUAUAGAUAACAAAUAGACAAGCUACUGGAUCAAUG